GACGAACGCUGGCGGCGUGCUUAACACAUGCAAGUCAUGGGGGCCCGCAAGGGCAACCGGCGAACGGGUGCGUAACACGUGAGCAACCUACCGAUUUGUGGGGGAUAGCCGGCCUAACGGCCGGGUAAUACCGCAUAUGAUGUUCGGCCCGCAUGGGCCGAACACCAAACUCCUUAUACGAGGCAAAUCGAGGGGCUCGCGUCCUAUCAGCUAGUUGGCGAGGUCACGGCUCACCAAGGCGACGACGGGUAGCUGGUCUGAGAGGAUGGCCAGCCACAUUGGGACUGAGAAACGGCCCAGACUCCUACGGGAGGCAGCAGUGGGGAAUCUUGCGCAAUGGACGAAAGUCUGACGCAGCGACGCCGCGU
rnacentral:rRNA from 1 species